UACGAAGGGGGCUAGCGUUGUUCGGAAUUACUGGGCGUAAAGGGCGCGUAGGCGGUGCGUCAAGUCAGGCGUGAAAGCCCCGGGCUCAACCUGGGAACCGCGCUUGAGACUGGCACGCUCGAGUUCGGGAGAGGAUGGUGGAAUUCCCAGUGUAGAGGUGAAAUUCGUAGAUAUUGGGAAGAACACCGAUGGCGAAGGCAGCCAUCUGGACCGACACUGACGCUGAGGCACGAAAGCGUGGGGAGCAAACAGG
rnacentral:rRNA from 1 species